ensembl:snRNA U6 U6 spliceosomal RNA
GUGCUCUCUUCUGCAGCAUAUAUACUAAAAUUGGAAGGAUACAGAGAAGACUAGCAUAGCCCCUGCACAAGGAUGGCAUGCAAAUUCGUGAAGUGUUCCAUAUAUUU